GACGAACGCUGGCGGCGUGCCUAAUACAUGCAAGUAGAACGCACAGUUUAUACCGUAGCUUGCUACACCAUAAACUGUGAGUUGCGAACGGGUGAGUAACGCGUAGGUAACCUGCCUGGUAGCGGGGGAUAACUAUUGGAAACGAUAGCUAAUACCGCAUAAUACUGAUUAUUGCAUGAUAAUUGAUUGAAAGAUGCUAUUGCAUCACUACCAGAUGGACCUGCGUUGUAUUAGCUAGUAGGUGAGGUAACGGCUCACCUAGGCGACGAUACAUAGCCGACCUGAGAGGGUGAUCGGCCACACUGGGACUGAGACACGGCCCAGACUCCUACGGGAGGCAGCAGUAGGGAAUCUUCGGCAAUGGACGAAAGUCUGACCGAGCAACGCCGCGUGAGUGAAGAAGGUUUUCGGAUCGUAAAGCUCUGUUGUAAGAGAAGAACGGGUGUGAGAGGGAAAGUUCAC
rnacentral:rRNA from 1 species